rnacentral:rRNA from 1 species
UACGUAGGGCGCAAGCGUUAUCCGGAAUUAUUGGGCGUAAAGAGCUCGUAGGCGGUUUGUCGCGUCUGCUGUGAAAAUCCGAGGCUCAACCUCGGACUUGCAGUGGGUACGGGCAGACUAGAGUGUGGUAGGGGAGACUGGAAUUCCUGGUGUAGCGGUGGAAUGCGCAGAUAUCAGGAGGAACACCGAUGGCGAAGGCAGGUCUCUGGGCCAUUACUGACACUGGAGAAGCGAAAAGCAUGGGGAGCGAACAGG